UUAUUAUGAAAUAAUUGUUUUAAUUUAACGUAGAUAUAUGUUUCAAAAUUUAAAAAUUAAUCUCUUAUUAUUUUUUUUCUCUUCUUUCCUCGUUUUCCUUUUCUACCGAUUUGAAUUCCUUAAGCCGAUUUUGAUCAAUCACCAAUCGGACCUAAUCAGACAAGGUCGGAUCUAGUGUUGAUAGGUUAGAAAAUGCUUGAAACCAGGCGAAAUCGGCCUAAAGAGACUGAAAUCCAAUUCGAAACCUGGAACAGAUUUUGACUUGUUUAGGCCGCUUUUAGACUAUUAGUGCUGGAUUCCACUCGUCUAGCCAAAAUCCGGUGCGUGACUAGCUGAAAU
rnacentral:lncRNA from 1 species